rnacentral:lncRNA from 1 species
AAUUGCUGGGAAUCGCAAGUGGAGAGAGCACAGGAGCACUCAGGCCCCACUUUUGGUCUUCUCAGAGGACCAUCCGGUUGACCACUAUGAGAAAGAGAUGCUAGACUAGAUGCCUUGCAUGGUGAAAGUGGACAGAGGGACUAUUUUCUCCCUCUCUCAUAACACUAGAAUUUGUGAAUAUACAAAGAAGCUGAAUGUUGGUAAAUUCAGGAUGGACACUAUACACACACACAGACGGUGGAACCUCGGGUUAAGUACUUAAUUUGGUCUGGAAGUCUGUUCUUAACCUGAAACUGUUCUUAACCUGAAGCACCACUUUAGCUAAUGGGGCCUCCUGCUGCCGCUGUGCCGCUGCUGCACGAUUUCUGUUCUCAUCCUGAAGCAAAGUUCUUAACCCGAGGAACUAUUUCUGGGUUAGCAGAGUCUGUAACCUGAAGCGUUUGUAACCUGAAGCAUCUGUAACCUGAGGUACCACUGUGUGUGUGUGUGUGUGUGUGUGUGUGUGUGUGUGUGUGUGUUUCACUCACAGCAUAGCUUUUAUAUAUUGUUGUAUGCCACUCCAAUCUCAAAGCAGUGUGAGAUUUCACGGGUUCCAGGUAUUUACCCAGGGUUUGGUUUCCUUGGAGUGAGGGACAACAGAGUCUGUGGUGUCUUUAUGCGCUAUAGUUUAUUUACACACCUAUACAACCUGAUGAGGGUGGCACUGUGGUCUAAACCACUGAGCCUCUUGGGCUUGCUGAUCAGAAGAUCGGUGGUUCGAAUCUCCGCAAUGGAGUGAGCUCCCGUUGUUUGGUCCCAGCUCCUGCCAACCUAGCAGUUCAAAAGCACGCCAGUGCAAGCAGAUAAACAGGUACUGUUGUGGCAGGAAGGUAAAUGGUGUUUCUGUGCGCUCUUGUUUCCAUCAUGGUGUUUCCGUUGCGCCAGAAGUGGUUUAGUCAUGCUGGCCACAUGACCCGGAAAGCUGUCUGUGGACAAACGCCAGCUCCCUCGGCCUGAGAUGAGCGCCACAAUCCCAUAGUCACCUUUCACUGGACUUAACCACCCAGGGGCCCUUUACCUUUUUUACCUUUUACAACCUGAGCCUAUGAUGCAGGGGCUCACAGCAUUGGCACCCCAGAAGGUCUUGCUUCUCCCAUAGCAACAGCCUGGAUUCAAGCAGAAAUCAAGCAUGGCCCUCACUCUCAGACUUCUGCCUGCUUCUAGCCUAUGCUGGCUAUUGACUUUAAAACUACCAGCCAAGUGAGGGAGGGGCCCCUCCCAUUUGCCCUCUGGCACCAAGCAACUUCCUUUCUUGUACAAAUGACCUGUGACUUAGGGCCCUCGUCUCUAUGGGACUGCAUCUCCUGGUAUGCCCCGCAGAGGACCUUAAGGUCCAUGAACAACCAUAGUUUAGAGGUCCCGGGCCCUAAGGAAGUCAGGCUAUCCUCCAUCAGGGCCAGGGGCUUUUCAGUGAUGGCUCUGACCUGGUGGAAUGCUCUGUCCCAUGAGACUAGGGCCCUUCAGGAUUUAACCUCCUUCCAUUGGGCCUGUAACACAGAGCUAUUCUGCCUGGCCUUUAAUUUGAAUUCAGCCUGAUCUUUUAUUUCCCUUCCCUUCCCCUCCCCUUUUAUGAAGAUCACCCACUCUGAGACCCCACAGCUAAUUCUCCCCUGGCCUCCUCGCUGGUCCAAGUAGGACCAAUUCAGUCAGCUAGCCCUGGGGAUUAUCUAAUGCUUAUUUCCCCUAAAUUGAUUUUUGAAUUUCAUUGUUAUUCAUGCUUUUAUACUGUAUUUUAUACUGCUUUUAUAAUUAAGUGUUUUAAAUUUGUUGUUAGCCACCCUGAGCCCGGUUUUUGAACCGGGAAGGGCGGGGUAUAAAUAAAAAUUUAUAUUUAUAUUCUAUAUAAUUCAACAAUUGGAUCCUCCAUUAGAUUUUAACCCUUGCUGGAUCCAGGAAUUGGAAGGGAUGGCUAUCAUAACUUGUGUAAAAAAACCAACAACAACAGAAGCCUUUCUCUUAGGAAUUAUUGGUACCCAAAGGAACAGAGAAGACUAUGUACAUGACAGCAACAGCACAGAUGCUACCAGCCCAGAUAUGGAAAGAUGAAAGAGUCCCUACCAGAGAGGAAUGGCAAACUAAGCUAAUGGACUACACCGAAAUGGCAAAACUGACCGGGGAACUCAGAGACCAAGUAGACAAAAAAUUCAAGAAAGAAUGGGGAAAGUUUAUAAUUUAUUUAGGAGACCACCGUAAGCAGAUGAAAACUUUAGCAGGAUUUUAAUCUCACUUGUAAUGUAACGAAUACUAUGGAGAAUAUGGAUAGACACAAAAUAUAUAUUACGAAAUAAUAUUCAGUUGUGGGCAAUAGGACCCAGGGAGGGGAUGCGGGGAAGUCCCUAGAUUCAGAGUAAUCUCUUUAUACAGAUGUGUAUUUGGUAUGGUUAUAAAUUCAUAUUUGUAAAAUCAAAUAAAAAUGAUUUGGAGCG